rnacentral:rRNA from 1 species
GGGGGGGGGGCAAGCGUUGUUCGGAAUUACUGGGCGUAAAGGGCGCGUAGGCGGUCCCGCAAGUCUUUCGUGAAAUCCCACAGCUCAACUGUGGAAUUGCGAGGGAAACUGCGGGACUUGAGUCCCGGGAGAGGAGAGUGGAAUUCCCAGUGUAGCGGUGAAAUGCGUAGAUAUUGGGAGGAACACCGGUGGCGAAGGCGGCUCUCUGGACCGGCACUGACGCUGAGGCGCGAAAGCUAGGGGAGCAAACGGGAUUAGAUACCCCGGUAGUCCUAGCCCUAAACGAUGAGCACUUGGUGUGGCGGGUAUCGACCCCUGCCGUGCCGAAGCUAACGCAUUAAGUGCUCCGCCUGGGGAGUACGGUCGCAAAGGCUGA